AGAGCAUCUGGUGGAUGCCUUGGCGUACAGAGGCGAUGAAGGACGUAGCACGCUGCGAAAAGCCACGGGGAGCCGCGAGCAGGCUUUGAUCCGUGGAUGUCCGAAUGGGGAAACCCGGCCCUUUAGGGUCAUGUUCUGUUGAAUAUAUAGGCAGGACAAGCGAACCCGGCGAACUGAAACAUCUCAUUAGCCGGAGGAAAGGAAAUCAACCGAGACUCCGCUAGUAGUGGCGAGCGAACGCGGAACAGGCCAGUGGCCAGACCUUAAGAACCGGAAACGGCUGGAAAGCCGUGCCAUAGUGGGUGAUAGCCCCGUACGGGUAGAAAGGGGUCUGGUCCUCGAGUAGGGCGGGACACGUGAAAUCUUGUCUGAACUUGGGGGGACCACCCUCCAAGCCUAAGUACUCCUGUACGACCGAUAGCGAACAAGUACCGUGAGGGAAAGGUGAAAAGCACCCCAAUGAGGGGAGUGAAACAGAUCCUGAAACCGGAUGCUUACAAACUGUGGGAGCGGGCUUGUCCCGUGACCGCGUACCUUUUGUAUAAUGGGUCAGCGAGUUAAUUCUGCGAGCGAGCUUAAGCCGUUAGGUGUAGGCGUAGCGAAAGCGAGUCUGAAUAGGGCGAUUUAGUUCGUAGGAUUAGACCCGAAACCGGGUGAUCUAGCCAUGGGCAGGUUGAAGGUGGGGUAACACCCACUGGAGGACCGAACCCACUGAUGUUGAAAAAUCAGGGGAUGACUUGUGGCUAGGGGUGAAAGGCCAAUCAAACCCGGAGAUAGCUGGUUCUCCGCGAAAACUAUUUAGGUAGUGCGUCGUUGCAUAACCGCCGGGGGUAGAGCACUGGAUGGGCUAGGGGGGCGCGAGCCUUACCAAACCUAACCAAACUCCGAAUACCGGUGAGUUCAAGCACGGCAGACAGACUGUGGGUGCUAAGGUCCAUGGUCGAGAGGGAAACAGCCCAGACCGCCAGCUAAGGUCCCGAAGUUAUGGCUAAGUGGAAAAGGAUGUAGGAAGGCCAAGACAACCAGGAGGUUGGCUUAGAAGCAGCCACCCUUUAAAGAAAGCGUAAUAGCUCACUGGUCUAAAUAAGCCGUCCCGCGCCGAAGAUGUACCGGGGCUCAAGCCAUACACCGAAGCUGCGGAUUCAGAGGACAGUUGUCAGAGGACAGAAGACAGAAACGGCGCGAAGCUCAUGUGUCGUCAUUUGAGGAUCUGGAGGUCUUUCAACGGGCCUAUCGGAUCUCCUUGGAUGUACACCGCGCGAGCUUGGCCUUUCCGUCAGUUGAGCAAUAUGCCUUAGGCGAUCAGGUUCGCCGGGCCUCGAAAUCGAUAUGUGCCAACAUUGCCGAGGGUUUCGGCAAGCAGCACGGCUCAACGGCGGAGUUCAAGCGCUUUUUGCUGAUGGCCAUCGGCACGGCAGAAGAGAUGUGGGUCUGGUCCCGCUACUGUCGUGAUCUUGGUUACAUCGACGAAGCGAUUUGGCGGCAGUGGCGCGGCGAAUACCAAGAGAUCGCCAAGAUGCUGCAAGCCUUACGCAAGGUAUGGCAAUAGCACGAUGUUUCUGUUUUCUGUCCUCUGUCAUCUGUCCUCUGACUGGUAGCGGAGCGUUCCUUAAGCCUGUGAAGGCGAUCUCGUGAGAGGCGCUGGAGGUAUAGGAAGUGAGAAUGCUGACAUGAGUAGCGACAAAGAGUGUGAGAAACACUCUCGCCGUAAGUCCAAGGGUUCCUGCGCAAGGCUAAUCCGCGCAGGGUGAGCCGGCUCCUAAGGCGAGGGCGAAAGCCGUAGUCGAUGGGAACCUGGUUAAUAUUCCAGGGCCAGCGGAGGGUGACGAAUGCUGUAAGUUGUACCGGCUUAUUGGAUUGUCGGUGCCGCGAAGGCGUUCCAGGAAAUAACCCCCGCAUAAGACCGUACCCUAAACCGACACAGGUGGACUGGUAGAGCAUACUAAGGCGCUUGAGAGAACGAUGCUGAAGGAACUCGGCAAAAUGCCCCCGUAACUUCGGGAGAAGGGGGCCCGCUCACCGGGCAACCGGUGGGCGGGGGCACAGACCAGGGGGUGGCGACUGUUUACUAAAAACACAGGGCUCUGCGAAGUCGCAAGACGACGUAUAGGGUCUGACGCCUGCCCGGUGCCGGAAGGUUAAGGAGAGGGGUGCAAGCUCUGAACCGAAGCCCCGGUAAACGGCGGCCGUAACUAUAACGGUCCUAAGGUAGCGAAAUUCCUUGUCGUGUAAGUUCCGACCUGCACGAAUGGCGUAACGACUUCCCCGCUGUCUCCAGCAUCGACUCAGCGAAAUUGAAUUGCCCGUGAAGAUGCGGGCUACCCGCGGUCAGACGGAAAGACCCCGUGCACCUUUACUACAACUUUGCAGUGGCAUUAGAACCGAUCUGUGUAGGAUAGGCGGGAGGCUUUGAAACCCGGGCGCCAGCUCGGGUGGAGCUACCCUUGAAAUACCGCCCUUAUCUGUUCUGAUGUCUAACCGCGGCCCGUGAACCCGGGUCCGGGACCCUGCGUGGUGGGUAGUUUGACUGGGGCGGUCGCCUCCCAAAGAGUAACGGAGGCGCGCGAUGGUGGGCUCAAGCUGGUCGGAAAUCAGCUGUCGAGUGCAAUGGCAAAAGCCCGCCUGACUGUAAGGCGGACGGGCCGAGCAGAGACGAAAGUCGGCCCUAGUGAUCCGGUGGUCCCGCGCGGCAGGGCCAUCGCUCAACGGAUAAAAGGUACGCCGGGGAUAA
rnacentral:rRNA from 1 species